rnacentral:lncRNA from 1 species
GUUUCUUGUGUAUAAUUCGGAGUUUAGUAUGACGUCCAUUAUCACUGUACUAUUAUGCAUAUUUUAGGGGCCAGCUGAAGGACACCUACGGGUGCGGGAAUUCUCGCUACAUUGAAGACCCAUUGGUUGCCUUCGGCUGUUGUUUGCUCUAUGGUCGGGUGGUUGUCGCUUUGACAUAUUCACCAUUUCCUUUCUCAAUUUUAAUGUACAUG